AGCACUCAGUGCGCGCAGCCCGCGCGGAGUCCGCUCAGAGCGAGAAAAGUGAACCCAACCCGUCGGGGCCGCCGCUCCGGACCCGCCAGCGUCGCGGCCGCCGCCUCGUCCCCCCGGUCGGGUGUACUGUCCCAACCCGAAAGUCCAGUUCUGCGUCCCGGCAGCGGCGAGCGAGCGGGCGCGAUUACACAGGAGUACGACAAACCCCUGAGUACCCAGGUGCCUUCAGGGCUUGACCAUAGCUGGACGGCUGUGAAGAAGCCAGGACUCAGGACAACUGCUUCUGUGUUUGUCUUGCCUUACAGCUCAGAUAAGGCAAAAUUUUCCAAAGCUAACGUCAUCUGGAACCGGAAGACUUCCUCUCCCAAGAUGGAGACAGCCUGAAAGGAUGAGAUCAUUGGCUUUGGCACCGGAGAGUUGCAGGCCCUUCUCUGUAUCACAAAGUUCCUCAUUAGAGAAAGUGACCCCCGAUUCAGCCUUAAACAUUAUUAGUUAACCCAACUUAUUUGACAAUAACUUUUUUCGUAUCGUUAUAAAAAACCCUUUACUACAGGCAGUAUCAGUCCAUCAUUGCACUUUCAGAGGUAACCAGAAGGCUUAGUGUGCACAUGACAGGAAAGCAGGUGGUUACCAUCUAUAUCCCCACCCUUAGAGAAGGCCUCAUGUGACAGACUAGUAAAUGCAUUGGACAACAACAAAAAAGCAUCUCAAAUACAAAACACAGAAGACAUUUCAGUUGAGAAAUCAAUUUUUACCUUUUUGUGAAUGGACUUCAAAUCAACAUUUGUUACUAUGAUAUUCUGAAGUCUGGCAAACAUAUCAGUCUGUUUUGGCUUCACAGAAACAGAGGCGUCCAUUCCUAGGGAAGGCAAGACUUUCACAAAGGAUUCAUUCAAUCCAGAUGAGUCAAGUGAGCAGUGCUGUGUUCAGUAACACACUACUAACAUACAGAGUCAACACAAGCUAUUAUUAGACAUACUGGUAUUGUUAUACCAGUAUUCACGUAUGAGGUAUGUAAGACAGGUUACACCUUUAAGUACUUCAUGCAUCUUACAUAAAAGUUGUGAGUUUAAAACCAAAUAAACAAAACACCUAGCCAGACCUGGAGGUGGAGGCCUAUAAUCCCAGUACUCCGGAAAGCUGUCAGGAGGAUCCCAAAUUCAAGCCCAGCCAGGGCAACUGAGCAACUUCAGAAGAAAUUAAGUUCUCCUGGCUCAAAAUUACAAAAAGUUUAAAAACUAGAGUGAGAGUAUAGCUCAGUGGAAAGCCUCUGGAUUCAAUCCCACAAAGGAAAGACAGGAAAGAAGGAAAAGAGGAGGAAAGGAGGAAGGGUAAUGUGCUGCUUCAUUCUUUCAAACCGACAACAUCAAAAGGUCACAAGUGUCUUUCAGAAACUCCUUUGCCUAUGCUACAUACGGGGAAAAGGCAAAAUAAAUAAACUAUUUUUUAAAAAUUCUGUGAUGUCUCAAUUAUCAGAUUAUUCUAAAAAUACAAGUACAGAAACAAAUUAAGGCCUCAGAUAUAAUCUGAAAUUUUUAAAAUACACAUGGAAUGUCUCAAGUCAGAAAAGAAUUAUAACAAAUUUACUACAAACAUCUCCAAAUAUACCUUUAACCUUCAGUGUAAGGAAACAAUGUUUGACUCAUAAGAAAUUCACCCCUACAAGCUCACUUUUGCUGGAUGUUUAUAUAACAAAACAGAAUUACUCACCAUGUAUUUUAACAUCAGCUACAGAACAUUAAUAGCAUCUAAUUCAGCUGUAACCUUUAAAUCGAACAUAUCCUUUUUAGAAAUGGUGCCAGAUACUAAAAAGUAAUAGAAAAUUUGUGAUUGGCAAAGUGUAAAGAUGAUAGAACACACAAAAUAAUCUCAAAUUCAAUAAAAUAAAAUUGUACUAGGAGGAGCCAA
rnacentral:lncRNA from 1 species